rnacentral:lncRNA from 1 species
CCCGCGCGUCAACAAUGAUCAUCUCUACAUGUUCUUGCCCAUCCUUAACAACAAUCCAUUUCUGUUUGACUCUAAUAGCAAGCUUUCAGAAGUCUUUCUUAUCUGUGACAUCACCAAUAAACUCCACUGGUCUUUCCAUUUUCAGAUCUAAUACAAAAACAAAACAUGGUUAGUAUUGUAGGCAAACCAAGGUAAAAAAAGAGAUGUGAUAGAGAGGUAUUUUAGGAUGGUUUAUAGGUUAAAUAGUAACUUCAAUAUAUGAAACAAAAUGAAAAGAGCACAACAUCUGUUAUAAGUCUAAAGUCUCUCAUAACUAAAAAAAUUAUAUUUUUAUUUUCAGAUCUAAUUAGAAAACAAAAACAGUCAGUAUUCUAAGCUAAAAUAUGACUUAGAAAAGAGACGUGAUAUUAUGAGAUUUUAGGAUGACUUAUAGGUUAAAAACUUACUUUAAUAUAGGAAAGAAAAUGAAAGAAGCACAACAUCUGUUAUAAGUCAAAACGUUGAUGUACCUUAAAAAAUGUGAUUUCCAUUUUCAAAUCUAAUUAAAAAACAAAACAUAGUGAGUAUUGUAGACAAAUAAAGGAAAAAAAAUUGUGUGUGAUAAAGAGAGAUUUAGGCUGAUUUAUAAGUUAAAAACUAACUUCAAUAUAGCAAAAAAAAAAGAAGAAAGAAUCACAGCAUGUCCUCAUAUAAUACAAAAAAUACAAUACAUUGUUCAUUAUGGAAUUCCAUAAAAGUUUGAUUUAGGAAUAUAACAUGCAUCAAAAAUUGUAUAACCUAAAGAAAACUGAAUAGUAAAGUCUGCAAAGAGAAGAGUAGUUUACCAGCAGCAACGAUGAGAGAGGGGACGAAUGGGUGUAGAGAAUGACAAUGUUUGCUAGUAGUAUUAUCUAAUAGAGUAUGUUGAUUGAUUGAUAGCUGUAAAAUGGAUAUUUGAACCAAAAGUGUACUUUAUAAUCUCACACACAAAAAUGGGUUCAGUUUUGUUUAGUUCCAAUGGAAUGGGUAACUUAGAUAAAUGUGUGGAUAAAGUAAACCACCAUUAAUGGGUUCAGUUACAUGAGAUUAGUUUUGUUGAAGUGAUGUCAUCCAAAAAGAGGAAGUAAGCAAAAAGAUCAGAUUUACCCCAAAAUUUUAGACGUUUGC